UCAUGUCCGUGUGACCGAGCUGCGUGAUGUGGCUGUGGAGGCUGCUCAGUGACUACCAUAGUAUUUGACAGGCUGAGGUCUUCUAUCUUGUCCCAUUCAGUAGCAUAGCCAGGAACACCAGACAGGACACUGAGGAUUCUCCUUGGAGUCAAACAGGUUGGUGACCAGCUGUCCAAAGUGCUGCCAAAGUUAGAUCUGUCCAAAUACAGGUGGAGCUGCCGCUCACUCCAGUGGCUCCCUGAACAUCACACCCUCUGGGCCUACUGUAUCCCUGCCCUGUAGCUGCUGAGGCAACUAAAGCUGUGCACGCUUUCACCAUCUAUUGUAUGUGUGUGUUUUAAUGAAUAAGAGGUUACAAGAAACAACAUUUAUUUGUUAAACACAGUAGCAAUAUCUGUCCAAGCACUGUCCUCCAAAAGCAUGUAUAUUUAAGUUUUCAUGUUCCCUCUCAGGUCACAGUGCUGUAACCACAUGUGUAAAUAUUGUGAGCAGGGCCAGUGUGGAGACAGCUGAGGUGAAUUAACACAAAGUAGUCUGUGUGUUGGAAAAACUAAAUUCAUAAAUCAUUUAGGUCAAAUUUUUCAAAUCAUGUUCCUGAAAAUAAACUUUCCCCUCCUCUCCUAGCUCCCUAUGUAAGCUGUCACCAAGCUGUGUCUGGUUACCAUAAAAAAGAUCACAGAUCAAAUUAUUACUUUACAGUUGACUCUUUUUUUUGCUGGUCUCUACAGACAACUCUCAAUUUUAGAUUUAUUUUCUGCUGUUCUUCUCUUACCCUGGGAUUACUUGCUUUAGAUAGAUCUUGGCUUCAUUACAUUUUUCCUUAAGAGACAUUUAGGUUUCACAGAUCAGAAUUCAUUAGCCUAGCUCAAUAGCUCAGCAAAAAAACAGGUCUGAUAGAUGCACGAAUCUGAGGCUUGAAAGAAGGCCUGAAGUGCUUGGGUUAUGGCUAAAAAGACCAACUCAUUCUUAUUUACAGGUCAUCCAAUACUGCAUAGACUACUAUUACACAACCCUGAAGAUGGGUUUGUAAAUGUAUUUAUUCUUGGUUUUAAGAUUUUAUAUCAGCAUGACAAUUAUAAUCUGUUCUGUUAGCUAGAGUAAGCAUAACACAGAAUAAUAAAAAUAAUAAAAGGUAAUAACAAUGAGAUACAGAAUAAAUUAUUUUUAAAUGGGAAAUAAAACAGAAAUGAAAUAUUGACAUUACAAAUUAAUUAUAGGAUUUGCUAUGGACAAAUAAAUUAUGUGUA